AUGCACAUGGCCAGGCCGGCGGUGAAGACGCUCACCGCCGGGCCACCGGAAGCCAAGGGCGAGUUCAUCCGUCUCUGCUCAAGCGGCCGCCUCAAGGAUGCCCUCCACCACCCCUUCCGGAACGUCCUCUGGUCGGACCCUACCCUCUUCGCCCACGUCUGCCGGGCCUGCCGCGCCAUCCCGCUCCUCCGCCAGCUCCACGCCUUUGCCGCCACCUCUGGCGCCGCCGCCGACCGCUUCACCACCAACAACCUCAUGCUCGCCUACGCGGACCUCGGCGACCUCCCCACUGCGUGCAGCCUGUUCGAGAGAAUUCCGAAGCUGAACGUCAUGUCCUGGAACAUUCUGAUUGGGGGUUACAUCAAGAACGGCGACCUUGGAAGCGCUCGGAAGCUGUUUGACGAAAUGCCCACGAGGAAUGUCGCCACCUGGAAUGCCAUGGUCGCUGGGCUCACCAAUGCAGGGCUUGACGAGGAUAGCCUGGGGUUCUUCCUGGCCAUGCGAAGGGAGGGAUUGCAUCCUGAUGAGUUUGGCCUUGGGAGCGUGUUCAGGUGCUGUGCCGGCCUCUCCGAUCUUGUCUCUGGGCGCCAGGUCCAUGCAUAUGUUGUCAGGUGUGGGAUGGACAUUGACAUGUGUGUUGGGAACUCGUUGGCUCACAUGUACAUGCGCUGUGGGUGCCUUGCAGAAGGAGAGGCCGUUCUCAAAGCUCUUCCUUCUCUUACAGUUGUGUCAUUCAAUACCACAAUCGCUGGUAGGGCGCAGCAUGGAGAUUCUGAGGGAGCAUUGGUGUAUUUCUCCAUGAUGAGAGGUAUUGGGCUAGCGGCUGACGUGGUCACAUUCGUCAGUAUUAUUACCUGCUGCUCAGACUUGGCAGCUCUCGCACAAGGUCAGCAAGUUCAUGCACAGGUUAUCAAGGCUGGAGUUGACAAGGUUGUUCCAGUCAUUACUUGCCUUGUGCAUAUGUACUCUCGAUGUGGAUGCUUGGGUGACUCGGAAAGAGUUUAUUCUGGUUAUUGUGGAUCAGAUCUUUUUCUUCUCAGUGCAAUGAUCUCAGCUUGUGGGUUCCAUGGGCAAGGACAUAAAGCAGUUGAGCUGUUUAAACAGAUGAUGAAUGCAGGGGCAAGACCUAAUGAGGUUACUUUCUUGUCCCUGCUAUAUGCGUGCAGCCAUAGUGGUCUUAAAGAUGAAGGCUUGGAGUUCUUUGAGCUUAUGACCAAGACUUAUGGAUUGCAACCAAGUGUGAAACACUACACUUGUAUCGUGGAUCUUCUUGGGCGAUCAGGUUGUCUGGAUGAAGCAGAGGCCCUUAUCUGUUCAAUGCCUGUACGUGCUGACGGGGUCAUAUGGAAGACACUGCUAUCUGCUUGUAAGACCCAGAAGAAUUUUGACAUGGCCGAGCGGAUAGCAGAGCGAGUCAUUGAGUUUGACCCUCGAGAUUCUGCACCUUAUGUUCUGCUAUCAAAUAUUCGAGCUACCAGCAGGAGAUGGGGAGAUGUCAGUGAGCUAAGGAAAAACAUGAGGGAGAAGAACGUGAGAAAGGAACCGGGUGUCAGCUGGGUAGAGCUUAAGGGUCAGGUGCAUCAGUUUUGCACAGGAGAUAAAUCUCAUCCAAGACAAGGAGAGAUCGAUGAGUACUUGGAAGAAAUGAUGGCCAAGAUCAGGCAAUGUGGAUAUGCACCAGACAUGAGCAUGGUGUUCCAUGAUAUGGAGGAUGAGGAGAAAGAGGUUAGUUUAACUCACCACAGCGAGAAAUUGGCGAUAGCAUUUGCGUUUCUGAGUUUACCUGAAGGAGUUUCUAUCCGAAUAAUGAAGAAUCUACGUGUGUGCGAUGACUGCCAUGUUGCUAUCAAGUUGAUGUCCCAGGUCACUGGCCGAGAGAUUGUGGUCAGAGAUGUAAGCCGCUUUCACCAUUUCAGAGAUGGCAAAUGCUCCUGUGGAGAUUAUUGGUGA
rnacentral:rRNA from 1 species